GGGCCUCUGGUCUAGUGGUAUGAUGCGUCCUUUGCAUGGAUGAGGUUACGGGUUCGAUUCCCGUGUGGUCCU
rnacentral:tRNA from 1 species